AUACGGAGGGUGCAAGCGUUACUCGGAAUCACUGGGCGUAAGGCGCGCGCAGGCGGCUAUUUAAGUUGGAUGUGAAAGCCUACGGCUCAACCGUAGAACUGCAUCCAAAACUAUUAGACUAGAGUGUGGGAGUGGAAGAUGGAAUUAGUUGUGUAGGGGUAAAAUCCGUAGAGAUAACUAGGAAUACCAAAAGCGAAGGCAAUCUUCUGGAACACUACUGACGCUGAGGCGCGAAAGCGUGGGGAGCAAACAGGAUUAGAUACCCUAGUAGUCC
rnacentral:rRNA from 1 species